GCUAGCGUUGCUCGGAAUUACUGGGCGUAAAGCGCACGUAGGCGGCUCUUUAAGUCGGGGGUGAAAUCCUGGAGCUCAACUCCAGAACUGCCUUCGAUACUGUAGAGCUUGAGUUCGGGAGAGGUGAGUGGAACUGCGAGUGUAGAGGUGAAAUUCGUAGAUAUUCGCAAGAACACCAGUGGCGAAGGCGGCUCACUGGCCCGAUACUGACGCUGAGGUGCGAAAGCGUGGGGAGCAAACAGG
rnacentral:rRNA from 1 species